UAGCGACCGUGGCGAAUCCACCCGGAGCGCGGACCGACCCCCCGCCCGGCCACUUGAGCGGGCGGGCGGGCGCGCGAGCGCGCACCUACGCACCUAUGCACGCACGCACGCACGCACACCGGCCCCCUCCCCGCCCCUCUGGUGCGCCAGCUACGAGGCGGGCGGUCACGUGGGCCCAUCCCUGGACGGCUGGCGCGGGAAGCCGCGCGAGAGCGGGCAGCGGGGUGCGUGAGCCGGCGCCGCCGCCGCCGCGUGACGUACGCGGCGCGUGAGCCGCCCCUCCCGCACGGAGGAGUCAGGCGGCCGACCGCCGCGGCGGCCUCUGGAUGAGGACACUAGGCCGAAAGACGGUGUAGCUUGAUCGAAGUCCCAAGAUGGUGUAGCUUGAUCGAAGUCCCAUACCUCUUCACUAACUGGACUCCAAGGCUCUAGAUGCCUUGGUCGUUACGCUCCUCGCCACAGCCGGAGUGCGGUGCCAGUUUAACCCACGCACCGUAGAGACUAUCUGCCAGAGAGCCACAAUGGACACAGCUAGCCAUAGCCUUGUCCUUCUGCAGCAGCUGAACAUGCAGCGAGAAUUUGGUUUUCUGUGUGAUUGCACAGUUGCUAUUGGAGAUGUCUACUUCAAAGCCCACAGAGCAGUGCUUGCUGCUUUUUCUAACUAUUUCAAGAUGAUAUUUAUUCACCAAACAAGUGAAUGCAUAAAAAUACAACCAACUGACAUCCAACCUGACAUAUUCAGCUAUUUGUUGCACAUUAUGUACACGGGGAAAGGGCCAAAACAGAUUGUGGAUCAUAGUCGUUUGGAGGAAGGGAUUCGAUUUCUUCACGCCGACUACCUUUCUCACAUUGCGACUGAAAUGAAUCAAGUGUUCUCACCAGAGACUGUGCAGUCCUCAAAUUUAUAUGGCAUUCAGAUCUCAACGACCCAAAAAACAGCUGUCAAACAAGGGCUGGAGGUCAAGGAAGCUCCUUCCAAUAACAAUGGAAAUAGAGCUGCUGUCCAGGGUGACCACCCCCAGUUGCAGCUCUCUCUUGCUAUUGGGCUGGAUGAUGGCACUGCAGACCAGCAGAGGGCCCAUCCUGCUGCCCAGGCCUUGGAGGAGCACCAGAAGCCCCCCGUGUCCAUCAAGCAGGAGAGAUGUGACCCAGAAUCUGUGAUUUCCCAGAGCCAUCCCUCACCCUCUUCAGAGGUGACAGGCCCUUCUUCCACUGAAAGCGGUAUCAAAACACACCUAUGCCAUUACUGUGGGGAACGUUUUGAUUCCCGUAGUAAUCUAAGACAGCAUCUCCAUACCCACGUGUCUGGAUCCCUCCCAUUUGGUGUCCCUGCUUCCAUUCUGGAAAGUAACGACCUUGGUGAAGUGCAUCCACUUACUGAAAGUAGCGAGGCUCUUGAAUGCCGCAGGCUUAGCUCCUUCAUUGUCAAGGAUAAUGAGCAGCAGCCUGACCACUCACACCGGGGUGCCACAGAGCCUUUGCAGAUCAGUCAAGUGUCUUUGAUCUCCAAAGACACUGAGCCAGUAGAAUUAAACUGUAAUUUUUCUUUUUCAAGGAAAAGAAAAAUCAGCUGUACUAUCUGUGGUCAUAAAUUUCUCCGAAAGAGCCAAUUACUGGAGCACAUGUAUACACACAAAGGUAAAUCUUACAGAUAUAACCGAUGCCAAAGGUUUGGUAAUACAUUAGCCCAGAGAUUUCAGCCAUAUUGUGACAGCUGGUCUGACAUCCCCCUGAAAAGUUCUCGCUUGUCGCAAGAACGGUUAGACUCAUCUUGUGCCUUAGAGUCAGAACUCACACAAGAAAAUGUGGAUACUAUCCUGGUUGAGUAGCAGUUUCUCCUUCAGGAUUUUUGUAUCAGUUCUGAAAAAGAAAACUCACAUACUUCUUUUAAUUCAUAAAUUAUUUUUCUCCUCAAGUUCUAUUGACAUUUUCUUUACCAUUUAUCCAUAGUUUUAAGGUUGUAUGUAUUAGAUCUUCUUAUUGUAAGAUAUAUUGAUACAUAGCUACUAAAAUGUAACCUUCAAUUAGGGCUGUGAAGUUUUCAUAAAUUAAAUCACAAUUUAGAAAUCAGAAAUCAAUAUAGAAGUAUGGAAGUUUUUCCAGGUUGUAGAAUCUGUAAAAUCAAAUUGAAUAUGAAAUAAGUGAAAUCUUUUUUAAAGAAUAUUCUAGACUAUCACUUUUGGUUAAUGUUCCACAUGAAUUAAGCCCUUAUGAGGAUUAUUUUAAAAUAUUUUCUGCCAUACAGGGAAUUAAUAGUUUUUAGUGCAUAACUAUAUGUUAUAAUGUAUAAAUCAUUUGUUUUAAGGCAUAGCUAUACCAAAUCAUGAGUAGUUUUAAAUUACUUUUUACUUACUAGCUCUGCAACAUCUUAUGUGGCUUUAUUUUUUUUUUAACACUGAGCAUACCUCAUUUUCAAUAAAAAAUAUUUAAGAGAGAGAAAGGGAGAAGAGUCAGAAACACACACAAAAACUUAAACAGAAAGAUACAUACACAUAGAUAAGCAUAGAAGCCCCUGGUGUUAGAGACAGAAAUUCAGAUAGAUCUGUGUUGACUGACACCCUAAUGUUAUCUUAAUCUAGAGUGGUUUCUUAAAGACCUUAAGGGAGGGGCUUCCCUGGUGGCGCAGUGGUUGAGAGUCUGCCUGCCGAUGCAGGGGACACGGGUUCGUGCCCCAGUCCGGGAAGAUCCCACAUGCCGCGGAGCGGCUGGGCCCGUGAGCCAUGGUCGCUGAGCCUGCGUGUCCGGAGCCUGUGCUCUGCUACGGGAGAGGCCACAACAGUGAGAGGCCCGCGUACUGCAAAAAAAAAAAGACCGUAAGGGAGUUUGAGAUUUUUAUGACCAGAGGUUUACAUGAGCUUAUGAGCAGUGUCUGCCAAAUGUUGUCUUCCUAGUGUUGAGGUAAGUGGUCUCUGUACCAGGUAACACUUUGGAUGUGUGAUGCAAAAAUGCAUCAGUGAGUCCAAUUCUUACCAGCCAUAAUCUGUGUUAAUAGAAAAGUGAUGUCCUAAUCAAGUGCUUUCCAACUGCCAUCUCUGGAAAGAAAGGUACUAUGUAGUCAUUUCCCAGAAGUUUCUUGCUUUGCUCCUUCCUUUCUUCCCUAUUUUCUCUCUAUCUCCUCCAGUAGCGUAAUCUGCAACAGUGGUUCUUAGCCAGGACGUAUUAGUCAGGUUCUCCAGAGAAACAGAACCACACUGUGUGUGUGUGUGUGUGUGUGUGUGUGUGUGUGUGAGAGAGAGAGAGAGAGAGAGAGAGAGAGAGAGAGAGAGAGAGAGAGAGAGAGAGAGAGAAAGAUUGAGUGAUUGAUUGAUUAUAAAGAAUUGGCUCAUGCAGAUAUUGAGGCCAAGUCCCAAGAUCUACAGUUGGUAAGCUGGAAACCCAGGGAAGCCAAUGGUGUAGUUCCAGUCCAAACUUUGCAGUUUGAGAAUCACAAAGGCAGGAAAAGACCAAUGUCCCAACUUAAUAGGCAGAAGUUACCCUUACUCUUAGGAGGGUCAGCUUUUUCUAUUCAGGCCUUCAACUGGUUGGACAAGGGCCACUCACAUUAGAGAGGGCAGUCUACUUUACUCAGUCUACUGAUUCAAAUGUUAAUCUCAUCCAGAAACACAGACACAUCCAGAAUAAUGUUCGACCAAAUAUCUGGGUAUCCCAUGGCCCAGUCAAGUUAGACACAUAAAUUUAACUAUCACACGGGGUGGUCCCCUUGCACCAUGGUGAAAUUUGGCAAUGUGGAGGUGUUUUGGGUUGUCACAGCUGGGUGGGGGUAGGGGAAGGUUGCUGUUGGCAUCUAGUGGGUAGAGGGACCGAGGGUGCUCUAAACAUCUCACAGUGUAGAGUAUAGGCCCCACAACGAAGAGUUUUCCAGCCCAAAAUGUCAGUAGUGCCGAGAUAGGCUACUCCUGGUCUAGAAGGGCAAAGUAAGUUUUAUGAGGAUUGUUAAGAGCUAAAGGAUACAAAACUUAAAUUUAGCGAUUUUUGUCCCAGUCAUCUUUGAAGUUAAUACAGUUCUUAUGGAGUAUGAGAUGUGUUUGUUCAGAAUUAAAUUUCUAUCUGUAUUCACUUUUAUGCCAUCUUUUCAAAGGUACAAAAUGUGAUUAUUAAAAAUCAUAGAUGUAUUAAGCAACAAGACAGUUUUAAGUCUGUUCAUAUAACCUUUGAACUAAACAAUUGUGUCUAUAAUAAGGUCUCUCUGAAAUUAAAAUGUGAUCGUAGUUUGUAAUUUGUGUAAAUAUUUAAUCUGGCCAAAAGGUGGCACCAGUGUACCUUUUAAAAGUCUAUUUUACAUUAUGCUCAAAUUUGGCAUCACUGUUUGCUUAAUUCACAUAUAUUUAAUACUUAGCUAUUCCUGAAUCUUGCUUCACUUUAUAGAGUCAUGACUAAUGAGAAUCUUCCUUGAAUCCCAUAAUAUAUUAGGUACUGAAAUAUACUGACAUCCCUCUUUGAUCAAGAUGCUUCCAAUUUACCUGUACAGCAGCAGAUAACUUUUUAAAAUAUCACAUUUAGUGUGCUUGUUAUAUCAAGCAUUUCUGAGGAUUCUUGUAAGUCUUUAACAUUAAGUCUUCAGAAUUUUAGUCUCAAUCACAUUUGUUCUUCUAAUCAGACAUCAGACUCAGUUUUUGGUGUUCUACCUGGUCAAGAGAUAAAUCCAGGGACAUUUGAGUAAAUACUCCCUAGUUUCUUACCUCUUGCUUCUUUUCUUCAUAGCCACAACCUCGGAGUUUGGCCUGUAUAUUAUUUUCUGAAAUUUACUUUCUCUUUCAACUGUGAUUCAACAACUGGCUUUCUAAGCUGCUGUUCUUUAUCCUUUUCUUCCCUCACUUCCUUCCACCAGUUUCAUUCUCCGAGACGGCUGAGACAUUCUCUGAUAGAGUUCUUGUACCUUCCAAUACUGAGUGAAUACAGGCUACCCUUUCCUCCCCAUAAUUUCUGCUUACAAUUUACUAUUAAUAUUAUCCUAGGACUUUGUACCUCAUCACCAAAUGCUUCUCUUAAAUUUAUUUUACAACUGAUUAGCCAACUUGGGCUUGGGCAACUUGGGAGAAUGAACCUGCUUCCUCCCAGAUAAAUUUUCUUCCAGUAUUUAUAUAAUGUUGAAACUUUUUUCAUUGAAACAACUUGGUGAUAUUGUAUCAAAAUAAUGGAAAUAAAGGAUCUUCCCUUAAGCUGUUAGAAAACCUUGGUGUCCUUUUAUGUCAGAAAUCUGAAGGAAUAGCAGUGCUCUGGGAGAGCUUCUCUGCACAACUGAACUGGUCCUUGCUCUCUUGGGAGCUGGGGGAGAGGCUUGUGCAGGAAGGAGGCCUGGGAAGGAGGCCUUCAUCAGCUGCAGUUGUUAUCCAUUGUCUGAUCUAUGCUAUUACUGAAUUUCAGGAAGGUUCAUGUUAGAUUUUUGUGGACCAAACAGGCCUUUGAGGAAUGAGAUCUUGUGAAUUUAGCUCUGCCGCAUUUUUCUGUAGUGGAAGCCAUAUGGUACUUAGUCCAAACCAUAUGUAGGAAAGUACCUAAUUGAAAAAAAAAUUUUUUUUUUGGUUUCUGGCAUUUGUACUAAGUGCCUUGUAGGGAGGAAAAUCUAAAGAACCUAUUAGGAAAAGGAUACAUUUGCAAAGAUAAGGGAAAAGGUUUUAAAAUGCAGACCAAAGAUUCCAGUGGAGUGAGUCUCAAAAGAUUUUUUUACUGGACCAGUUCUCAUUUCUCAACAUUGCCCUUCUUUCACAUAUGUGCAUAGUCUGCUGUGAGCUCGGUGGUACCUGUCCUCUCUUUCUAUCACAACAUUUUAAAGUGUGGGAGGAAAGGCAUAUAAAUGGAAGGCUCCUUUUUAAAAUUUAAAACAUUUCCUGUUUCACUGUUAACAUCACCAGUUUUGCAGAUCUCUCAAACUGGCGGUUAUGUUCAGACCCACCACAUAGAGCCAUGCAAAUUAUGCACAAUAAACUCUAGGGGGCGUCACUCACCAAAUGCGUGCUUCUGGAGUUGGGCUGUAUAGUUUGAACAGCUGUGCAAGGCAGCCGUGCCUUUCCUUAUCCUGGGUUAAAUGUUGAGUCUAAGAAGCCCUUAUUUUGAAUUUCUGCAGCAAGUAGCAGUUUUCACUGAUGCAGCCAGGAAAUUAUAUUAAACUAAAAUACACAGGUGGUAUAAAGAACAAUGAAAUCAGAAUAAGAAAAAAUGAAUACUCCCUAGGUGACACAACUAUGUGUUUGUCAAAAUGUGUAGAACUGUGCACUAAAAAGGGCGUAUUUUACUGUAUGUAAAUUGUACCUUAAUGAAAAAAGGUUAAGACCACCCAGAUAAAUAUAGAAAGUCUUGGAGCUUAAUGAGCCAUGAUGAUUAUCAUUCACUUUUAAUCCUUCCAUAGGUCAGAAAAAAACACCAGCCAGAUAUUGAGUAUAGAGAAGAAAACCCAUGAAACUAAAAAGGUAAUUCUGAAAUUCACUCUGAAAUAAGCCAAAUUACUGAUAAGGCUGUUUGUGGCACAUCUGAAAGGUUGACUUUUUUUCACCUGAAUUGAAUAGUGAGCGACCAAUUAUUUUGGCAUUCCGUGCAUGUUAGCCUUCACAGAGUACAAGAAGAGUUCUAACCAGUUAUUUUGAUCAGGGGGAUAGAAAUACUCUAGUUAAGUUUUGGGUUUUUUAAAAUAAAUUAAUUUUAUUUAUUUUUGGCAGUGUUGGGUCUUCGUUGCUGCAUGGGGGCUUUCUCUAGUUGCAGCGAGCGAGGGCUACUCAUUGCAGUGCGCGUGCUUCUCAUUGCGGUGGCUUCUCUUGUUGUGGAGCACCGGCUAGGUGUGCGGGCUUCAGUAGUUGUGGCACGAGGGCUCAGUAGUUGUGGCUCGCGGGUUCUAGAGCGCAGGCUUAGCAGUUGUGGCACACGGGCUUAGUUGCUCUGUGGCAUGUGGGAUCUUCCCGGACCAGGGAUUGAACCUGUGUCCCCUGCAUUGGCAAGCAGAUUCUUAACCACUGCGCCACCAGGGAAGUCCUCUAGUUAAGUUUUUAUACCACAAAUGGCUAUUCCACACGGAACCUCUGCAUUGUAAUUUAUAUAUGAGGAUAUUUGAUUGGUUUGAGCAUGCAUGCCUGUAGCUGCAUUACUCUUACCUGUGACUGAUCACAGAUAUGGUCCAGAGACCCACUUGUAGCUAUACUGACUGGACCUUCCUGUGUUCUGAAGGUACAGAUGUCAAAGUAGGGAUUUGGGAAUAAAAGGUUUGAGUACAAGUGUACAAAUGACUGCAUCUGCUUUUGUGUCACCCUGUGCUCCCUAUCUCCCAGGAAUAUGGAAUUGGAAGGCCUGUUUUUUAUGGCAACAAGUAUAGCUGUGAAAAGUGUAGGAAAGGCUUAAUCUCUGCUCUAUAAUUGCACUGUCAUAAAUAUCAAGAUAAGGCCAAAAGUCCUAUUUGAGUCUAGCCACGAAACAAAUUGUGAGGAAAGUGCGUCUCGUCUUGCUAACAUGCAGAAACUGCUGGACACCACUACCAUUGCUAUUAUGAUAGUUUGGAAUUUACAGAGACAGUUUUUUUUUUUUUUUUUUUUUUUUUUUUUUUUUACAGAGACAGUUUUAAGUUUGGGAGUUUCCCAACCUAGGAGCCACCAUCCUCCCCUCACGUAGGUUUUCCUUAAUUGUUCGUAGUGUCUGUGCCCAGCUUUGCUGAGGAUUUUCUGUGAAUGUAUAGUGUGCUCAUGUACAUAUAUACAUAUACUUGCUUUUUUCCCUAAGUUCAGGAACUUAGCCUCCAGUGAUCUCAAGCUUCAGGGAAAAAGAGAAAGGUAUGUACUUCUCCAAGGGAUUGGGAACUCCAGAAUUCAGCGUUAAGGGCAGAAUUGCCUGAGAGGACAAGUGUUGCAAAAGGUUAUGUACUUUUCUCUUAAAUUAGAAAGAUGUGAUUUAAUAAAAUUUUUUAAAUUCUGCAAAGUGUGAAAUAUUAAAUACCCUAUGUACAGUGUACCUUAACAAGACAUUUUAUUUUGGAACAAAGUUUAGUUUUAGGACUUUUAAGACGCUAUCAAGUUUAAAUUGGUCCCAAGAUUUGGAAAGCACAUUCUUUCAUAGUGCCUAUUUACUGUCAAUGGGCUGUGCUUAAGAAAAAAACAGGGUUGCUGAUGUUAAGGGAAGAAAAUCAGUGUCUUAAUAAACACAGAACUUUUGAAACACCCAGCUUUAGCAGGCACCAUCUGAAUAAGCAUUUCCACAUAAAGAUCGCUUAGUAAUUUGGAAAACCAUUAUAGGUUAAUACAGAAAAGACAACUAGUGACAAUAGCAAGAGACAAUGAAAACAAGUACACUUCUGUCAACUUCAUAGAUGGCAUCAAAGUCAGAAUUGCCCUUUAGAUGGAAUUAUUUCAGUGAAAUUGAAUUCAAGUUCGAGGUGUUUGUGUUUCUCUUUGCUGGAGGUGGGCUCUUUUAGGCAUGUCUUGUAAAGUUUGGCCAACACUCAGGAGAAUAGAACUUUUGGUGGUACGAACUCAGUAGUUUCAGUGUGAUCUUUAUGGUUUUAGGAAAUUAAUGUACUAUACCACGUUUCUCUUAAAAGAUUUGGAUAAAUAAAAUAAACAUGAGCCAAUAUAACAUUUAUUUUGUAUUAACAGUACAUAUAUUAAUUCAGGUUUGAAACCUUUUUUCUACAGAGUAUGAUUUCUUUAAUAUUCGCAUCUGAUCCACAAUAAUAUAGUACUAAUUUUAAUGAGAAAUACAAAUUGGAACUUCUGCUUUCAUAAUAGCUCAUCCACUUAACAUUUUUACAAAGAACUACUAUAAAUAUGUAACAUUAUGCAGGCUUUUUUCUGCACCUGUUCACAAAUCAGAAGGAAUAUACUUUUAAGCUAUUUAGCAACCGAAUGCUAUCAAACUGCCCCUGUAUUUAUAUGACCAUCUCCUCAUACCAGACAAAAUGAAUCUCUUUCUCUUUAGUCUCCAUGCACUCACGAUGCUGCAUUACUGUGGUUCUUUGCCUUAACCCCUGUCCAAGUUUCAGCUGCUGCGGCGCUCUUCGAGGGCAGGGAGACUGUCCCCUUUAUCAGUGUUUGGCAUGUGUCAUACCCAACACAUGUUGAAUAAAUUGAAUUUAAUCUAAAUUUAAGUAGUUUCUUUCUGUUAAAUUUUUGUAACUAAGUAAGGAUUACAAAAAAACUUCAAAAAUGUGCCAUAAAAUGUACUACAUAUUGAAAUUUUGAAUUCUGUAUAAUGAGAAACUUCAUGUUUGUGAAGCAAUAAAACAUCAUAGGAAUUUGAAACUAAGAAACGCUAAACCUUAAAUGAGGAUGUUUAAAAAUGCAGAAAGGGCAGGCAGAAAAGUCCACCCCUAAUGUAUUGAGUAUCAGGUGAAAUUAGAAAGCAGACUUCACACAUUUGAAUAAAGUUGACAUUAAAGGGGUAUUUUCAAACAAUGGAUUCUAAAGCUUAAUAAUUAUGUUAAUUCUGCUGUAAAUCCCCCCAAAUUAAUUAUUAACUAUAAAAAAUAAGGCAACUUGAAGUUAGAAACUUAUGGAUGAAGUUAACUCUGGAUUUUUUGCAGAAGCCAGAUUCGACUGGUGCCCUCUCAUGAUCCAUUAUUUCUAAAAGCCUUUAGCUGGAAGGCUAUUCACACAUAUUGGUGAAAUAAUGUAAUCGCUCAGAAAUAAAUCAGAGUUUUUAAGACUUCGUUAAAUAGUAGACCAAUUAAGAUCACAAACUUCGUGCUGUCAAAUGGAUUAUCUUCAAAGAAAAUUAUGCUGACAGCUUUUCUGAAGAACUCCAUUUGUACCAAAUGCUUAUUGUUCCUUGAGGUGGAGGAGGUGGCAGGGAACAUGAUUCCUCUUUGAAUGUUCUUCUGUUUUCUGCUACCUUUACUUAAAUGUGACCAGGGACUAUUUUUAUAUCCUAUAAAGUACUUUGAGAAAAUGUUAAGUGAAUAGUGCUACACAAAAUAGAGGAGGAUUUUUGUAUUCGCUUGUUGUAAAGCAAACUGAAUAAUACUUGAAUCUUAAAAGGGGGAAGAUAAUGUGCUGAAGAAGUUACCUGAUAAACCAACCAGCCUUGUAAAAUCGAGUUCAAAGAGAAACUGAAUCCCAGCUACUUAAUAAAUGUUCACUAAAAGCAGCAUUUAUACCACAGCAAAUUUAAAGGAAAAUUAAUGUGGUGUUAUUAAAUUGCCUUUUAAGUGAUAUUUUAAUAUUGUCAAAUGGAUGUGAAUUGAAUAAGAACCUAUUUAUAUUCAUUUAAUGUCUUGCAUAUAAGGUCAAAUUGCUUAAAAUAAAUACCAUUAAAAUAAAAAAAAUAUUUUAUGAGAAACUUCUAAGUCAUCUGAUUCCUAAUUAUUUCUAUAACAACAAAACAAUUUAGAUCACCUUACGAUUCAUAGUAGUGGGAGUUGGCCAUGUAGCAGAUAUAAUCAGAUUGAGACCAAUUAAUUUCUGGAAUCCUUUUUCAAACUGGAUCCUACUUAUUUAAUUCACCAGAUAUUCUCAAUAGAAAAGACUGAGGAGAAACCACUUAAGAAUGAAUGCAAAUAGAGUACACAUUUCAUCACAAAAACUAUCAAUUAUAAUACAUUCUAACCAAAUAUGUACCACACCACAGUGGAAAAAAAAUAGAAACCUAGGACUACUUAGAUAAAAUGUUACUUUCUUAGAAGAAUUUCAUUACACAUAUUUACCUCACGUUUUUAAAACUCCCAAAUAAAUAUACCUGCACAUUUCAAAAUAUUUUCAAUAACUGGUAAAUGCUAUACUUUUUGCUUAUUCAUGAGAAAUUACUAAAAAUUUACAAUGAAAGUAUAUGGCUUGAGCCAUCCUUGCAGUAAAUGAAGGCAGGAUUCUUCGAAACACUGUUAAAUGCACCAACUUUAAUCAGUCUUUUUAAAUUGCUCACUUUUAAAUAUGUAGUUGCUGGUAGCUGUCCAAGUCCAUUAGCACCACAUAUAGUGAAUUAAAAAGAGUUUUUAGGGAGGAUGACUUAGCAGUCUUUUUUUAAAAAAUGUUUAAAAAUUAUACAAUUAAAUGAAAUUGAUUUCUUGGGUCAUGUUUUGAAAGAUCCACUUUUCAUCUUGUGAAACCGAAGGAUUUUGGUAGCUUCCCUCUUCCUCCCACCCCACCCCCCAAGGUUAUAAGCAUGACGGUAGGAAAAUCUGGGGGAAUACGGGGAAUACAUUUACACUUCAGCAAAGAAUCUUGCUAAUAAUAUCCAUUAUCUGGUUCAGUUCCAAAGUCAGAUUAGGUUCUUCUGCCAGAGGUCUCAAUAUGUACUUACAGGAAGAAACAAAGAUUCUAUGGGACAAAUUAGCACAUACUUUCUGUAUGCAAUCCAUAAAUAAUGCAGGAAGUCACCAGAUCAUUUGAAAUCAUCUAAUGUACAUUCUUUUCUCCAAGAAUGUACAAAUACCUUACAACUCAAGCAAAAGCUCUUCAUUACUUCAUCUACUUUCAGAGUGACACUGUCACUCAGUUUAGACAGUGGAGGACUGUACAAUAGGAACCCUGACCUGUGAGGUACGGAAGUGGGUUGCAGUAUUAGGGUCAUUUCACACAAGGAAAGGUUGAAACAAUUACUUAUUUUUUCAAAAAAUAUGACAAUCAUUGAGAUCGAUGAUUUAAAUAACUGAAUAAAAUGCAAACAAGCCCUUCUCAUUGUUAUAUUAAGUUCAUUUUUUUUUUUUUUUGUAAGGGACUAGUUGGACUAAAAUUACUGAUGAAAAAGUUUAUUUUCAAUAUCCGUGUAAAAUUUUUACUGGUGUCUCUCAACACAUAGGCACAAUGAAAGAUGUAUUUGGCUCAUUCUUAGCCAAGCAUGAAUAUUUUCACUAAAUUAUUAUGAUUUCCUAUGACUUUUACUGCCAGGUUUGCUUUGAGUCCACUCUCCCCUCUUUGAGGAGAGAUUGAUGAAGACAGUCUCCAGAGAUUUAAUCUUGCAAGACGAAUCGUGUGUUAUAUGUGGUAAUUUGUUACUUGGGAAGUUUGUCUUCUCCUGGAUGGAAAAUAAUCCACUUUUUGUUGUUUUAAUUUAAAAAAAUUAUUUAUUUUUUGGCUGAGUUGGGUCUUUGUUGCUGCGUGUGGGCUUUCUCUAGUUGCAGUGAGCGAGUGCUACUCUUUGUUGCGGUGCACGGGCUUCUCAUUGCGGUGGCUUCUCUUGUUGCGGAACACAGGCUCUAGCUGCGUAGGCUUCAGUAGUUGUGGCACGCAGGCUCAGUAGUUGUGGCUCACGGGCUCUAGAGCACAGGCUCAGCAGUUGUGCACUGGCUUAGUUGCUCUGCGGCAUGUGGGAUCUUCCCUGGACCAGAGUUCAAACCCGUGUCCCCUGCAUUGGCAGGCGGAUUCUUAACCACUGCGCCACCAGGGAAACCCAGUUUUUUGUUUUUAGCUUUUCAGCAGAUGAUCCCAUGCGCAAGUGGAUUUUUUUUUUUUUUUUUUUGGCGGUACGCGGGCCUCUCACUGUUGUGGCCUCUCCCGUUGCGGAGCACAGGCUCUGGACGCGCAGGCUCAGCGGCCAUGGCUCACGGGCCCAGCCACUCCGCAGCAUGUGGGAUCUUCCCAGACCGGGGCAUGAACCCGUGUCCCCUGCAUCGGCAGGCGGACUCUCAACCACUGCGCCACCAGGGAAGCCCGCGUGCGCAAGUGGAUUUUUAUACAGGUCUGCUUGUGGCAGAAGAAAGAUGGAGAUGGAAAAUGCACUCCCUGUUUCCACACCUUUGCACUUGGUAAUUAUUUGCCUGUUUGAAGUAAUUUGUGAAUGGCUUUUGUAAGGAACUUGAGCAAGACUAGAAAACCACUCAUGUUUAAUCAAACUAUUAUUUUUUUGGUUUGCAGUAUUUUUUUUUUUUUUUUUUUUUGCGGUAUGCGGGCCUCUCACUGUUGUGGACUCUUCCGUUGCGGAGCACAGGCUCCGGACGCGCAGGCUCAGCGGCCAUGGCUCAAAGGCCCAGCGCUCCGCGGCACGUGGGACCCUCCCGGACCGGGGCACGAACCCGCGUCCCCUGCAUCGGCAGGCGGACCCUCAACCACUGUGCCACCAGGGAAGCCCUGCAGUAUUUUUUUGAGGUAAGACUACUACCUAGGAGUAUAACAGCUAUAAGUCACACAUUCACAAAAAUAGCUCACCUUAUCACCAUUUUAUACAACAUAAAAGUGCACUGUAAAAAAAAAGUUGUUGAAAACAGAAUGCGAUGUUAACCUAUACACAGUGUUGAACUUUUAAAAGGAAACCAGGCUUUGUGACAUCAGAGGACAUUAAAGAGCUUAUGGCAUACGGCAAGUGCUCAAUAAAUACAUCUUGCUUCUCCCAGGCAGUCUAAUCUCCACAAACCAUUUUAGCAAUUUCCUAGAUAUUACUUUUCAUUGCAAUCUGUACUGACUUCCUUCAAUCCAGAAGUGGCUACAUUUCAGUGAUAAGGGAGGAUUUUACAACUUAAUUCUUUAGCACUUCUGGGUUUGAACUGUACCUUUAAAUUCUACAGAUGUUAAAUCUCUCAUUUGUUACUGAAUAAGAAAUACCACAAAUAUGUAAAAUAAUUUACCAUUAAGCAUUUUUUCCCUCCCAUGAUGUGGAAAUUAAGUCACUGUAGAAGAUUGCUUUUUGCAUUAUCAUCAGAGGCCAUUUCAUUAACCAGCUGUUCUAUAGAUAACUGGAUAGCAUUCUUGACAAGAGAAGAAGCUGUUUCUAUUAAGAGUGUUUCAUAUUGUUCUGAAGUUCUACUCUCAAAACCACUAUCAUUAGCAAAAACCCCCACUUGCUCAUUUUCGAUUGAAAUUAAGAAUUGCUUAGGGACAUUUUUAGAUUUCUUAACAUCAAAUUCACUGAUUUCAGUGUCUGUGAUAAUAAUAGCAAUUGGCUCCAUUCUUUUGCUUUCUUCUGGUUUGGGUUUUUCUGCAGUGAUUUCAUUUACUUGAAAAUCUGAUUCCUGGCUCAGUUCAGUAUCUUUCGGCUUGCUCUCCUCAGCAACAGUCUCUUUACUUUCACGGUCUUUCCAGUCUGGUCCACUUUCUAGGAUACUGUUUCUGGCUUCUUCCAGAAUUUGUUGAUCUGGGACUGCAGGUGAGGGAGGAACAUCAGAAACCACUGGGAGCUGGUGUUCUGUGUCUGAAGUUUCCAGUGGGCUUGCUUGCUGAGGUUGAAUGCUUUGUUUUUCCUCAAGCGUUUCAAUAUCUUUUUCAAGGAUUAGAGUUCCUGUUUGAAUAGCAGAAUGCCCUGUAUCUAACUCAAGUUCUACUGAAAUCACUUUCUCUCCAGGAGAAGUUAUGCUGUUGUUCACAUUUGAUUCACAGACCUCAUCACUCCCUUUCUGUGAGACAUCUUCCCUUACAUCCUGCUUCGACUUGGUCUUUGCUGCCUGGUCAUCUGAUUGGGUCAGAGUUUUUGUAUCCAAACUUCCAGCCUGUCGUUGGACUUUGAUACUGCAGUCUGAGUCUUCUAUAAUUUUGGAAUGAUUACUUCUUUUCUCCCCUUUUGAGAAUUUUAUACAGGGAAUCUUGAGUCUGGAUUUUGCCUUUUUUUUAGAAUUAUCAUCCUCAGCAUUGAUUUCAGGUUGCACUUUGGCCUCAAAGGGCUUUGGCUGCUUUGAAGAAUCUGACCUUUUGCUGCGUGUUACAAGGCGUUUGAUGGAAGCCCAGGCCCCCCCGGGGGGCUCUGGCUGAUAAGAAGCUCCUGCUUCUGGGGGACGCUUCCUUGCUGCAUCAGCAGCUUCAGAGCCAGCUUUGGGCUUCAUUGCUUUGGCUGCUUUCUUUCUUCUCUUGAAGCAAAGCGUCGAUGCUUUUUCCUCCUGCCUCUCAUUCUGAGGACUAACCUCUGCUGAUCUCUUCUCAUCCUUGCUUUCUACUUGUAUUUCAGGAACUGUGAUCUCCAUUUUUAUAUUACACUCUUUCUUUCUCUAGAAAUCUGUAUCCUCUCUUCCUUAGCAGCCUUUUAUGACAAAAAAGUAGGCAAAAAUAUCACACUAAGUAAAAUUUCUUCCCGAUGUAAUCACUCCUUUCGUCUUACUCCAUACAGUUGUUUUAGGUGGUUUUUCCAGUUAUAAAAAUGCCUUGUUUCACUAUUACUUGUAAUUUAUCUCUUUAAUUUCUUCAUGAAAGCCCUUUUACUGGAUAGAUUUUUGUUUUAUUUAAGGGUCAACCUGAUAAGAGAAAAGAGAGUGGUAUUUUAUUUCACCAUCAGCCUACUGUUUUCUAUAGAGACUAUUUCAGUUGAAUGCAUAUGGUUCUACUGGGCAUGUUUCCCAUAUAAUAACUUACUAAAAUGACUGGAGAAUAAAAAUUGGGGUUUACUUUUGCCCUAUCCAAAA